GCGCCCGUAGCUCAGCUGGAUAGAGUGCCUGGCUACGGACCAGGAGGUCGGGGGUUCGAAUCCCUCCGGGCGCA
rnacentral:tRNA from 1 species